GUUCUUCCUCAGUAAUGGAUGCUUCAUGACAGCAGGAAAUUGACCAGAUGGCCAAAAACAAGGAAGUCGAUAUAGACGGUUUCUUUCAGAUAUACUGCCCCUCCUUUUUGUGAUACAGCAGGCAGACAGCCAUCUAUAAGCCAGGAAGAGGACUCCUACUAGGACCUGAGCUGGGCUGUACCUUCAUCUUGGACUUGCCAGUCUUCAGAACUGUAAGAAAAAAAAAUUCCAUUCUUUAAGCCACCUAGACUAUGGCGUUUUGUUAUAGCUG
rnacentral:lncRNA from 1 species